AUACGGAGGAUGCGAGCGUUAUCCGGAUUUAUUGGGUUUAAAGGGAGCGUAGGCGGGAGCUUAAGUCAGCGGUUAAAUGGUGCGGCUCAACCGUGCCCUGCCGUUGAAACUGGGUUUCUUGAGAGUGCAAGAGGCGGAUGGAAUUCAUGGUGUAGCGGUGAAAUGCUUAGAUAUCAUGAAGAACUCCGAUUGCGAAGGCAGUCCGCUGGGGCACGUCUGACGCUGAUGCUCGAAGGUGCGGGAAUCAAACAGGAUUAGAUACCCUGGUAGUCCGCACGGUAAAUGAUGAUUACCCGCUGUCGGCGGCAGACAGUCGGCGGCCAAGCGAAAGCGAUAAGUAAUCCACCUGGGGAGUACGCCGGCAACGGUGAAACUCAAAUGAAUUGGCGGGG
rnacentral:rRNA from 1 species